CCACACACAUUUCACCCAAACACACACUAAAUAUCUCUCUCUCUCUAGAAUUUUCUAUGAACAUCUCUCAACUCUCUUUCUAAACACACACAUAUACACGUAAUGUUGGGAAGGAGAUGGAGUCCCCCAAGACCGCCAUCUACUGUUCCUCCGGCGGCGCUGUGGCCACCGGCCAUCGGCCCUAGCCUUCUUGCUAACAGCUUCUUCCUCUCUAUCUUUUCCAACCUCCAUUAAUGAAUUUCAAGGUUGAAGCUUUGUUUCCCCAAACUCAAGUUUCUUGCUAAUAGAGUGCUAGGAGUGGCGCAUCCAAGGCUCGAGGACGGAGAACCAAACUAAGCUAGGAGAUUAUUUUGGAUUGCAGCUUUCGAGGUGGGGUUUACUUUAUCUGUGAGCGUAGUGGUUACAUGGUUAUAAUCGUUGUGGUGUCGUGCGUCAUUCAUAUGAGCUUAUGGGCCCACGAGGGGUCAGAUCCACGAGGGAUCAUUUGGGUCGCUAACAGCCCACCAGUAGCCCACGAGGGGUCAGGUCCACGAGGGACCGAGACUAGUCUCCUAUAGAUGUCAGCAAAGUUGAGAUGGUUCAUCAUGUUAUGAUUCAUUACACAAUUGGUUAUAACUGCUUGCAGCAUAUUCCCCACUCUCCACUGAGUGUGCUUGCAUACUCACACCCCGUUAUUUAAUAUUUUUCAGGUUAAGGAGUCGGUGACGGGGCAACCGUCAACGUGGUCCACGGUCUCCCAGCUGCUAUUUUUUGACUAGUAGACCCUUUGGUAUUUUGGGUAAAAUUGAAUUGUUUGGGGAGAAAACUCGGUAACUUUUUAUGCUAUUAUAUUUUGAAUGAUGUAGGUUGUAAUAGGGUAUUUUAUUUUGGUUGGAAUACUAGAUGAAGUAUAUAUAUUUUUAACAUAGUGAUACAUUUUGGUGUAGAUAUCUAUAUGCACAUAUUUCUGAUGUUUGGGAAAAA